CGGUCCGGGAGGUGUGGUCAGGCCUGAGGCAGGAUGGAGGAGAGGGGAAUGAGCUCACAUUCAUCAUCACUGGGAAGGCUUUUGUUUCCAGAAAGGGUCUAAAGAGGAAACCACUCCACUUGUGGGGAUACCUGGUAAAAAGAGCUGGCCACAUCCGUGGCUCCAACUUCUGACUGAAGUGGAAUCCUGCAUUAACCUCGGCUGCCCAAGAAGAGGACAGGGAGACCUUCUCAUGGGCAGUACCUCAUCUGCCCAACGAGAAUCUGAGUCUCUGGGAUAUGAGCAAGGACUCACACUCAGGCCAAGUCAGGGAAUAGAGUCCAGAGUCAGCAUCUGGGCUCCUCCGGUCACACUUGGCAAAGCCACCCAGUUCUAGACCUCCAGAGAACCUUGACUAACACAAAAAAUUCUGCAAGUUUGGAGUGCCAUCCAGGGCUUCACACAAAGGGAUCUAGAACACAGUUAUGUACAACCUCUUAUAGCCUUCUGGAGCACUGAUGAAUCUCCAGGCCAGAUGUUCACUUCUUGAAGACUUUGCCCUCUUCCCCAGAAGAGCGGAAACCCGCCCCCUUGACUCAGCUGCAUAUAGUAAUUGUCCCACCUCCUUGUUCAUUUGCAUACAGCAGCCCCGCCUCCCUGUUGGAUUGUAUAUAAUAAACACGCUGGGCUUCUGGGGUGCUGCGGCAUCUCCGCCAUAGAGUCCACUUACUCCACCCCA